rnacentral:rRNA from 1 species
GACGAACGCUGGCGGCGUGCUUAACACAUGCAAGUCGAACGGAAAGGCCCUGCUUUUGUGGGGUGCUCGAGUGGCGAACGGGUGUGUAACACGUGAGUAACCUGCCCUUGACUUUGGGAUAACUUCAGGAAACUGGGGCUAAUACCGGAUAGGAGCUCCUGCUGCAUGGUGGGGGUUGGAAAGUUUCGGCGGUUGGGGAUGGACUCGCGGCUUAUCAGCUUGUUGGUGGGGUAGUGGCUUACCAAGGCUUUGACGGGUAGCCGGCCUGAGAGGGUGACCGGCCACAUUAGGACUGAGGUACGGCGCAGACUCCUACGGGAGGCAGCAGUGGGGAAUAUUGCACAAUGGGCGGAAGCGUGAUGCAGCAACGCCGCGUGCGGGAUGACGGCCUUCGUGUUGUAAACCGCUUUCGCCUGUGACGAAGCGUGAGUGACGGUAAUGGGUAAAGAAGCACCGGCUAACUACGUG